UACCAACUUUACAGUCGUUACAUGCUAAAUUAAAAACUGCUUUACAAUCCUAAACAUCAACGACGAUUCAGAUUCCGUAGGAGAAAGAAGCUGGCGGAAAGGCGGAGGUCGCGUGUUAUUUGGACACAGCCCAGAUCUUCCGACUGGUGGAACACCAUUGUUCCAGACUUCUCCCCUCUGCAAUUCAUGCAGAAUUUCCGCGUGUCCAGGCAGUCCUUUGACUAUAUCUGCAACCAGGUCAGCGGCGUUAUGGGGAGAAGAGACACAAAUUACCGUCUGUGUAUACCCAAUAAAAAAACGGGUUGCAAUUGCCCUCUGGAAGCUGGCCACCGGAGGUGAAUACAGGACCAUCAGCCAUCUUUUCGGAACUGAGCAGUGCACGGUCGGUUGUUGAGAUGGCGUUUGGAAGGCUAAAAGGAAGAUGGAGGUGCCUCCUAAAAAGGAACGACUGCGAGCUGGAGCUCAGCAAAAUAAUGACAGUGACUUGCUGUGUACUACACAACAUAUGUGAGGAACAUAGCGACAACUUCACUGACGAUUGCCAUGAACUUGUGUACGACCAACCCGCUUUACACCCCUUACCAGAUAAUGGUAGACAAGAAGGAGCUGAUGUUAGAUCCGCAUUGAUGGACUAUUUCAACAUGGGGGACCACUAAUAUUACUGCAGUUAAACCUGAUCUAUUUUGUAUCAUGCCUCUUUUUUUUGUACAAUAAAAUCACUGGAUCAGA